UCACUGGGUAAGAGUGGAAGUUGCUGGAUCCUUCCCAGAAGAGUCUCUACAAAGAUGUGAUGCUGGAGACCUACUCGAACCUCACUGUUAUAGGCUACACUUGGGAAAACCAUCAUAUUGAAAGACAUUGUCAAAGUUCAAGAAGAAAUGAAAGGUAUGUAAGUAAUCAUAUUGGAGAGAAACUCUAUGACUGUAAUAAAUGUUCUAAAGCCUUUUCAUGUCCCAGUCAUCUCCAAUGUCACAAAAAAAGACA